UCGAUGUACACAAAAGUAGAGAUUUUGAAAUGGGGCCAGUACGCAACACCCUAGAAAUUCCACAGCAAUGCACUGAACACCACUCCAAACAUCCUAACAACAACCUACUCCCUAUGGAGGUUUGAGUUUUGUGAAACAUCAGUCGAAUGCCUUGAAUGCUAUGUUUUGCUCAGGUCAACGCUGCAGAUGUAGAGGAUGAGUCUGUUGUUCAGAACCCGUCCUGCAAUCUUCUUUUCCUGCUCGAGGUUUUGUAACAAGCUUGUAGGAGGCCUGUCUGCUGGCUUCUCCACUGUGACACUACACUUCACUGGAUAUAAAGCAGGUGCAUGAAGUCAUGCGAAUGAAGUUUCUUUGGGCCCCCGGUGGGUUUAGUUUUCUAUUCUUGACCCAAUCAAUGAAGCACAUCGGAAGCAAGUUUCAAUAAGAUCUUUGAAACACAAGGUCUUUAGAGCGGCACACUUGCCAUUUUAGAAGAGGAAAAUGUCCCCAUAAUUCAACAAAUCACUGACUCCAGUCAGACUUUCAUUUUUAAAUCAAAGACUAGAAUAAUAUCCCAUCUUAAUAUCUCACAUUAAUCUCAACUGAAUGUAAUGAAGUAAUA